CCCCGCCCUCUCUCCCAGCCAAUCAGCGGCGGCCUGACUGCAUCCUGCACGAUCUGACUGAGGCGCGCGUUAACCCCUGCGCUGCCGGACACGGCCUCCACACAGACCGCCCAUCCCAGAGACAUUAACCCGUGCACUGCCACCUGCAUGGUCUCACUAGCUGCUGCACAGAGACUCGUAUUAACAUCCCCCCUCCACCCCCCGUCAGAGUGUGGGGCCUCCCAAACAUGAACUCCUUCC